CGAAGGCAAAGGACAAUCACUGUGACUUUGUUAGAAGUUGCCUUUUGUUGUGUAUACUGUGGGUACUUCAUACAUUUGGGGGCGGCUGUACAAAAGGCCCCGUAGUUACGGUUUUAUUCUGUUCAGUUGUUCACCUGUAGUUUCUUAGAGUGGCCAGUAGAGGUCACCCCACCGCUUUGUAUGAGAGAGGAUUUGGGCAGGGAGAUACGUGGGUGAGAUAUAUGAGCGUUUCCGCUCCCGAUUACCGGCGGAGAAGUGGUCAUUUCGUGAGAAGUGUGCGUUACUGAGCAACAGACCACACACACACACACGCUCAUAUCCACACCGAUGCACCCCCCACACUCCUACCUGCGCACCUAAACUUGCAUGUAACACCUGCUCCUCUGACAAGCCUGUUACUUCUGACCGUGUGAAGGCAAUACAAGCGUCUAAACCA